rnacentral:rRNA from 1 species
UGCCAGACUCCUACGGGAGGCAGCAGUGAGGAAUAUUGGUCAAUGGUCGGGAGACUGAACCAGCCAAGCCGCGUGAGGGAUGAAGGUACAGAGUAUCGUAAACCUCUUUUGUCAGGGAACAAAGGCGGGGACGUGUCCCCGGAUGAGUGUACCUGAAGAAAAAGCAUCGGCUAACUCCGUGCCAGCAGCCGCGGUAAUACGGAGGAUGCGAGCGUUAUCCGGAUUUAUUGGGUUUAAAGGGUGCGCAGGCGGUCUAGAAGGUCGGGGGUGAAACCCGGGGCCCCACCCCCGGCCCGCCGUUGAAACUGGCAGUCUCGAGUUGGAGAGAAGUAUGCGGAAUGCGCGGUGUAGCGGUGAAAUGCAUGGAUAUCGCGCAGAACUCCGAUUGCGAAGGCAGCAUGCCGGCUCCACACUGACGCUGAGGCACGAAAGCGUGGGUAUCGAACAGGAUUAGAUACCCUAGUAU